UGUUUUAGAGGUAAAAAAAUGAUAUAAAUACUGUUCGGUUUCUCGCACAAACCGAUCGUUUCGUGUCUUAGGACAUCAAUGUGUCGUCACAAGCCGCAAGGUUUAAUUUGGAUUUGUCUGUGCAUGUUUGUUUGACUCUUAUAGAUGGAGUUCCCAUUGACAUGCAUUAUACGACUGACAGACCACAACGGUUGGAGUUAAAAAUCAUCAUUUGUGUUCUACUGAAGAAACAAAGUCAACUACAUCUUGGAUGCCCUGGGGGUAAGCAGAUAAACAUCAAAUUUUCAUUUUUGGGUGAACUAUCCCUUUAACUGUGUCAUUUUAUUUAUAAAAAGAUGAGCUUCCUUUUUUUUUUUUUUUUUUUUAAGUUUUAACUGCAUAUGGCAUUCUCUAAGCAGUUUUGAAGCUAGUAAGAUGCUUUAUUCAUCAGGACAAGGAUCAUCUUCUGAGGGGAUGUCUGGUGGACCAACUGUAAGACGGGAGUCAGAGUUUACUCCAAAGAUUGUCUUGAGUGAGGAUGAAUGCAAGGAAGCAAUUGCAUUCAUGAAACAUUCUGCUGAUGAGGACACAGUCAAGAAGAAGAUGAAAUUGACAUUUGACUAUUGCCGCAAAUUGGUUCUGGACCCUAUGCAGUCAAGCGAUAUAUUGACAGUCUUUCCACGUUUCAAAGACGUUAAAGGCUUGAUUGAGCAAGACUUUGUUCUGAUGUUUGGAGAAGGAGUGUCAGGCAAGCUACUGGAGAAGUGGACGACUGCAUUCAAGAAAAAAGUGAUUCAGCAGUCCAGAAAGCUUCCAACCACCAGUGAUGUAGAAGAACUCCUGCUAGCAGCAAAAUUUCCUGAUGACUCAGAAGAGGGUGUUAAUUUUGGCUUUGUUGUGAACAACAGUUAAGAUGGCAUUCCAGGGACCAGUUUACAACAGGACCCCUCUCUAUCUGCUGGUGUGUAAGAAGAUGUGCCACACUGUGAUUGGAUCUUUGGUGAAUGAACAUAACAAAUGUUCAGCAACAUCAGAUAAGAUGUUAGGACAACUGCCAGACACCUCUUCCAGAGCAGGAAGGGGAACCUUCUGCACCCACCAAAACCAAGGAGAGGACUUCUCAUUGGAUGACACAUUGACUCUAACCACCAAACUCAUUCCUAAGGUUUAGGCAAGGACUGCCAUAAAAAAAUCCUUUAGGCCCCCCUGGAUGGAGCAGCAGUGACUGAAAUAAAGAGAGGCCACAGAGAUCUAUCUAAAUCCAUUCAUACCUAUGUUUGGAGGCCUUAAUUUGAUUUAAACUGCAUCACAUCCACUCCAUCUUCAUGCAAAGCACAGUUUAUGUUAAUGGUUACUGACUGUUAACACAACAGGUCAUGGGACAGACCUGUUAACAGAUGAACAAAUGCAUGGACGAUGACUUAACCAUUUCAUAUCGUGUUUGGUGUCUAUCUGUUCCCUACGAUGCCUUUAAUAAUUUGAAAGAGGUUUGGUAAAGAAAUAAUGCAUGGGUAAAAUGUGAAAGACACUAUUUUAACACUGUACUUUAUGCUAUGCAAAUGAGUUCCACACUAGGGUGGGCAACACUGGGCUGCUUCAGAUAACAGUGGCCAAUCACACUCCAGGAUCGGCAAGGCGCCACAUUUCAAUCUCCUCCUCAUCGGAAAGGGAUAAAUAUGUCCCCCGGGUAGACACACCCUUGUUCUGGGUUUCCAGCUCGACAGGGAAGGAGACAUUAACAGACACUCCACGUCCUGAGUUUCUGACCUGACGAGGAAAGAGACUACAAGACAGUUAAAGGUUAAGCUUUUGCAAGCAAAACCUUUCACAUUGCUUCCAGCUGCACUCUAGCUGCAAAAAGGGCCCCAGCAUCGAGGGACUUCAUCUGACCCUUACGGCUCUUACAGCAGCGAAGCCCAGUCCGCAAAGGACCUCUGCAUCGGCAGACAUUGCCUGUACCACACGGCUCCUCAGCGACGCAGCCAGCCUGCAAAGGAACCUGUGAAGAUUGAUCUGACCCAGCUGCCCAGUCCAUCCUAAAGGACCCUCUUGGCACAACCGAAGUUCAGCAUCCUCCAGCCCAGCGUGGCACGACUACUGGAUCGCAACUUCGCGCCCUCCCACUGCACGCAGCCUGCAUCCUCAGUGGAAGACGUCUCUGCUACCGGAUUGAUCACCCGACUGUGUGGAACGUAAAUAUAAACUUACCAAACCUCUUUUCUAGAGACCUUGGCAUUAGUUUAUACAUGCAGCAUAUGUUUUUCUAACCUGUUUAGAUAAGGGGUUACUUGAGGUCAGCUUGUUACAAAUAAUAGGGAUAUUAUUUGUUGAAUGAUAAAUAAGCAAUUAUUUAUCACCAUUUUACCAGAGCCAUUAGGUGGCUUCCAUAAGAAGCAUUCCCAUACAGUUCUCUUCCAUUCUACAUUCAGUUCAACAGCAUUGCAUUUAUCCAUUCU